GACGAACGCUGGCGGCGUGCUUAACACAUGCAAGUCGAACGGAAAGGCCUUUUCGGAGGUACUCGAGUGGCGAACGGGUGAGUAACACGUGGGUGAUCUGCCCUGCACUCUGGGAUAAGCCUGGGAAACUGGGUCUAAUACCGGAUAGGACCGCACUUUAGUGUGUGUGGUGGAAAGUUUUUUCGGUGUAGGAUGAGCCCGCGGCCUAUCAGCUUGUUGGUGGGGUAAUGGCCUACCAAGGCGGCGACGGGUAGCCGGACUGAGAGGUUGGUCGGCCACAUUGGGACUGAGAUACGGCCCAGACUCCUACGGGAGGCAGCAGUGGGGAAUAUUGCACAAUGGGCGCAAGCCUGAUGCAGCGACGCCGCGUGGGGGAUGACGGCCUUCGGGUUGUAAACGCCUUUCGCCAGGGACGAAGCGUUUUGUGACGGUACCUGGAGAAGAAGCACCGGCUAACUACGUG
rnacentral:rRNA from 1 species